rnacentral:rRNA from 1 species
UACAGAGGUCUCAAGCGUUGUUCGGAUUCAUUGGGCGUAAAGGGCGCGUAGGCUGCGGGGUAAGUCUGGUGUGAAAGCUUCGAGCUCAACUCGGAAAAGCAUUGGAAACUAUCCCGCUGGAGGGUCGGAGGGGAGACUGGAAUUCUCGGUGUAGCAGUGAAAUGCGUAGAUAUCGAGAGGAACACCAGUGGCGAAGGCGAGUCUCUGGACGACUCCUGACACUGAGGCACGAAAGCUAGGGGAGCAAACAGG